CCUACGGGUGGCUGCAGUAGGGAAUCUUCCACAAUGGACGAAAGUCUGAUCGAGCAACGUCGCGUGAGUGAAGACGGGUUUAGGCUCGUUAAGCUCUGUUGGUCGGGAAGAAAGAUACAGGUCGUAACUGGCCUUUAUUUUACGUUAAUUACUUAGAUAGUCACGACUAAUUACGUGCCAGGAGCUGCUGUAGUACGUAGGUGGCAAGCGUUGUCCUGUUUUAUUGGGCGUAAAGGUAGUCCAGGCGGUUCAAUAAUUCUGAUGUUAAGGCCUUCGGCUCAACCGGAGAAUUGCAUCAGUAACUGUGGAACUUGAGUGCAGAAGAGGAGAGUGGAACUCCAGGUGUAGCGGUGGAAUGCGUAGAUAUAUGGCAGAACACCAGUGGCGAAGGCGGCUCUCUGGUCUGCAACUGACGCUGAGGCUCGAAAGCAUGGGUAGCGAACAGGAUUAGAUACCCCUGUAGUC
rnacentral:rRNA from 1 species